rnacentral:misc_RNA from 1 species
GAUGAAGAACGUAGCGAAAUGCGAUACUUGGUGUGAAUUGCUGAAUCCCGUGAACCAUCGAGUCUUUGAACGCAAGUUGCGCCUCAAGCCAUUAGGUUGAGGGCACGUCUGCCUGGGCGUCACAUAUCGUUGCCUGAUGCCAGUUUCCUCGUGAUGGGUGACUGUGCAGGGCGAAUGAUGGCUUCCCGUGAGCAUUGUUGCCUCAUGGUUGGUUGAAAAUUGAGUCCUUGGUAGGGAGCGCCGUGAUAGAUGGUGGUUGAGUGACGAACGAGACCCAAUCAUGUGAGACCCCUCCCGAAUUUGGCCUUCAUGACCCACAUGCGUCUUUGGAACGCUCAUGACGAGACCUCAGGUCAGGCGGGGCUACCCGCUGAGUUUAAGCAUAUCAAUAAGCGGAGGA